AUGUAUCCUUCGUCAUGGCCAGGUCCAGGGUCGCACCAGUUGUCAAUGCCUAGGCUGGAACUCAGUGCUGCCCUUUCCGGAGCCCAGUUGGCUUCAACCUUGCGAGCCGAGCUCACCUUGCCAAUCCAAAGGGUCAUCUACUGGAGUGAUUCAACUACUGUAUUGACCUGGCUCAAGUCAGAGUCCUGCAGGUAUAAGGUGUUCGUCGGAACUCGCAUUGCGGAAAUCCAAGACCUAACAGAAGUCCAAGACUGGAGGUAUGUUGACAGCGUAAACAAUCCUGCUGAUGACGUUACUCGUGGUAAAACACUUAAGGAACUGGCUCAACCCCAUCGCUGGAGUUUGGGGCCACCAUUCUUGUCCCAACCAGAGAACGAGUGGCCGACAGCCCCCAGGCGUGCAGCCCCUCCGCAACCAACUGAAGCUCAUGAGUUAAGGAAGUCCACCCAAUGCUACAGCAUCUCUAUGGAACCAACAACAGCUCUCCAUGACAUGACACAAUCCCAAACCCUGCCGGAUCUGAUCACCGCCACAAACCAGACCUCAGAUGGGGUGGCUUCCAUACCCACCUCCCUCGCGGCAGAGACACUACUCCUCCAGCAUGCACAAGCAGUUAGCUUCCCUGAGGAGCUAAAAGCUCUGAAAGCCGGUAGGGAGGUGGCUAAGGACAGCCGUCUUCUCUCUCUGGCCCCAGAAUAUGAUCGAAUCCUUGGACUGAUCAGAGUCGGAGGGAGGCUGCGCCAAGCAGAAGUUUUGGAUCCCGACGCUAUCCACCCAAUUAUCCUUGACUCCAGACACCCUAGUACCAGGCUCCUCAUCAAGAGUUAUGAUGAGAGGCUUCUCCACCCAGGGCCAGAGAGAGUCUAUGGCGAGAUGAGGCGGAAGUACUGGAUACUUGGAGGACGAGGAGCCAUUCGUAAGCACCAAUACGCCUGUGUGGAAUGUCAGAGAUGGCGCGCCAGAGCCACGGUGCCCAAAAUGGCAGAUUUACCCCCUGCUCGCUUGCGCCUCCUCAAACCACCCUUCUGGUCAACAGGAGUGGAUUGCUUUGGCCCCUUGACGAUCAAGUUAGGUCGUCGAGUGGAAAAGCGCUGGGGCAUUCUAUUCAAGUGUUUGACCACUAGAUGUGUCCACCUGGACCUACUGGAGAGUUUGGAUACUGAAGCGUUCCUCAUGGCCCUACGGCGGUUUAUCUCCCGACGGGGGAAACCCUACGAGAUCCUGGCUGACAGAGGUACAAACUUCAAGGCAGGAGAAGCCAGGUUGGAGGAAGCCUUCCAAGCCAUGGAACCCAGCCUCCAGGAUCAGCUGAUGGAGCAACAAAUCUCAUUCAAAUUUAACCCUCCAGGUGCUCCUCAUUUUGGAGGAACAUGGGAGCGAGAGAUCAAAUCUGUAAAGACGGCCUUACGAGUCGUACUGGGGGACCAAACUGUCACGGAAACUGUCUUGCGGACUGUCCUGAUAGAGGUGGAAGGGAUACUGAACUCCAAACCCUUGGGAUAUCUCUCUGCAGACGUCGCUGACCCCGAUCCGGUUACACCGAAUAUGCUCUUGAUGGGACGCAUCACUUCCUCAAGCCAUGUACGCUGA
rnacentral:lncRNA from 8 species